rnacentral:rRNA from 1 species
GACGAACGCUGGCGGCGUGCCUAAUACAUGCAAGUCGAGCGCAGGAAAUCAUCCGAACCCUUCGGGGGGACGUUGAUGGAAUGAGCGGCGGACGGGUGAGUAACACGUAAAGAACCUGCCCUCAGGUCUGGGAUAACCACGAGAAAUCGGGGCUAAUACCGGAUGGGUCAUCGGACCGCAUGGUCCGAGGAUGAAAGGCGCUUCGGCGUCGCCUGGGGAUGGCUUUGCGGUGCAUUAGCUAGUUGGUGGGGUAAUGGCCCACCAAGGCGACGGUGCAUAGCCGACCUGGGAGGGUGAUCGGCCACACUGGGACUAAGACACGGCCCAGACUCCUACGGGAGGCAGCAGUAGGGAAUCUUCCACAAUGGACGAAAGUCUGAUGGAGCAACGCCGCGUGAACGAUGAAGGCCUUCGGGUCGUAAAGUUCUGUUGUAAGGGAAGAACAAGUGCCGCAGGCAAUGGCGGCACCUUGACGGUACCUUGCGAGAAAGCCACGGCUAACUACGUGCCAGCCGCCGCAGUAACAC